CGCAGUUUCCGUAGCAAUACGGGGAUGGGCGCACGGCGCACGGGUGCGUAACACGUGGGCAAUCUGCCCUCCGAUGGGGAAUACCCCCGCGAAAGCGGGACUAAUUCCGCAUAACAUUCCUUGGAUUAACUUUCGAGGAUUCAAAGCAGCAAUGCGUCGGAGGAGGAGCCCGCGCCCGAUUAGCUAGUUGGUGAGGUAACGGCUCACCAAGGCAAUGAUCGGUAGCUGGUCUGAGAGGAUGGCCAGCCACACUGGAACUGAGACACGGUCCAGACUCCUACGGGAGGCAGCAGUGGGGAAUCUUGCACAAUGGGCGAAAGCCUGAUGCAGCGACGCCGCGUGGGGGAUGAAGCUUUUCGGAGUGUAAACCCCUUUCGACUGGGACGAAUGCCUCGCAAGAGGAGUGACGGUACCAGUAUAAGAAGCCCCGGCUAACUACGUGCCAGCAGCCGCGGUAAGACGUAGGGGGCCAGCGUUGUUCGGAAUUACUGGGUGUAAAGGGUUCGUAGGCGGUGUGGCAAGUCGGGAGUGAAAUCUCUGGGCUCAACCCAGAGACUGCUUCCGAAACUGCUGUGCUUGAGUGUGAGAGAGGCUCGUGGAAUUGCAGGUGUAGCGGUGAAAUGCGUAGAUAUCUGCAGGAACACCCGUGGCGAAAGCGGCGAGCUGGAUCACUACUGACGCUGAGGAACGAAAGCUAGGGGAGCAAACAGGAUUAGAUACCCUGGUAGUCCUAGCCCUAAACGAUCAGGACUUGGGGUGCCGCCCGUUCGGGCGUCGUCCCGGAGCUAACGCGUUAAGUCCUGCACCUGGGGAGUACGGUCGCAAGACUG
rnacentral:rRNA from 1 species